GGUUGAAGUACUGGCGACAACGCUGCAGGCCCAGGAACCUCCGUGCUUGGCUGAAGACCUCCUUCCAGGUACCGGGAAAGGUUCCCGCAGCGAGACCACCACCGAAACACGGACCCUGAACGCUGGCGAGUGAAAUCUGUACCAAGCGAGGCAAAUCCCACCGCGCCCACCCAAGCCAGCCUUUCUACCGGCCAGGACACGGGUGGCAGAGGCCAGCCCCAGAGCCGAGAUGGCUUUGACGUUAUGAAAAGGCCUCUCAAGAGUUCCGGGAGGGCAACUGUUUUGUGACGCGUGAAAGCACGACACCGAAACUUUCGUCGUCCGUAAAGUUUUCCGGUUUGGGCCGCGGGGAACCCGCAGAACAUUCCAUCUCCCCGAAAGGGAAGCCGGGCCCCAUCAGCCGUGACUCCCUUCCUCCGUCCUCCAGCCCUUGGAAACCACGCAUCCGCUCUGCCUCUCCGGACGUGCCGGUUCCAGAGGUUUCGGACACACGGAUUCCCACACUAUGUGCUGCUUUCCCCGAGCGUCACGUCUUCGAGAUCCAUCCACGUGCAAGCGCCUCACUCCUCCUGCGGCUGAACGACCACUCCAGGGUGUGGAUGGGUCGCAGUUUGCUUGUCCGUUCACGGGGUGGUGGGCAGCUGGGCCGUCCCCACGCUUUGGCUGCUGUGGACGUCUGUGCACGGGUUUUUGUUUGCACACUUGUGCCCCAUUCUCUUGGGGAGACACCUGGGAGCAGGAUCGCUGGGUCACGGGAUCAUUCUACGUUUGGCUUUGUAAGGAGCCGCCAGACUUUUCCAGCUUGUUCCACAUCCUGACACUUGUCACCCGCUUUUCUUUUUUUAAUUUCUUGUUUUCAUUAAUUUUUUUUG